rnacentral:rRNA from 1 species
AACAUAUUAAUAGCAUUAAAAAUUAAAAGGUAAGUUAUAUAAUGACAGAAGUAUCUAAUCGUUAAAGUAUUAUUUAAAGAAAUAUUUUAUGUAGCUAUAGUUUAAGAGUACUGAGAAGGAAAUUGUAAAAUUUAUAUUAAGUAGAAAUGUAUGUUCGUACCUUUUGCAUCAUGAUUAUGCGAGAUAUAAAUAUUAAUAUAUUGUCCCGAAAUUAUGUGAGCUAUUCUUUGACUUAAGUCAAUGUUGCAAAAUUGUUUUUAGAUUAUAGAAUAGAUGUGAAAUGUAAGUCGCACAUAAUGAUAGCUGGUUGACCCAGAAAUAUAUGUAAGUAUAGCUUUUUGUUUUUAGUUUUGUUAUAGCAUUACUGGGAAACAUAGGAGUUCCGUAGAAGAAUAUAAGUUCUUUUAUUGUAUUAAAGAAUAAUGUAUGAGAAUUAUUAAUUAAAGUAGGUUUAGAAUUUGCUAUCUUUAUGAGUUUGUUUUUAAAAAAAUAUUUGUUACUAAUAAUUUUUUUUUAUUUAUCUUAGAUUAUAUGGGUUCUAUACUUUAAAUUGAUUUAAAUUAUGAGUUUAUGUAUAAAUGAGUAUAUUGUAAAAUAAAUAUUGUUGUUGGCUGUAAGUGCUUGAAGUAGAGCUUAUUGUUAUAAAUUUUUGUGUAUAAGGUUAGUUUAAGGAAUUCGGCAAAUUAAGUCCCGCCUGUUUAUCAAAAACAUCGCUUUUUGUUAACAAUAAAUGAAAAGUAGAGCCUGCCCAGUGAAGAAAUUUAAACGGCCGCAGUACCCUGACUGUGCGAAGGUAGCAUAAUCAUUUGCUCUUUAAUUGGGAGCUGGAAUGAAUGGUUUGACGAGGGCUUAACUGUCUUAAAUUGAUUUAUUAGAAAUUGACUUUUAGGUGAAGAGGCCUAAAUUAAUUUAUAGGACAAGAAGACCCUAUUGAGCUUUAAUUUUUUGUUUAAAUAAAAAUAUAUUGAUAGAGUUUAAUUAAGUAUAAGAUUUUGAUUGGGGCGAUCAAGGAAAAAAAUAAUCUUCCUUUAUAUGUGUAAAUUAUGUUAAUUGGUGAUCCAGAAUGGUUCUGAUUAUAAGAAGAAGUUACCAUAGGGAUAACAGCGUAAUCUUUUUUGAGAGUUCUUAUCGAAAAAGAGGGUUGCGACCUCGAUGUUGGACUAAGGUGUCCUGAAGGUGUAGCAGCUUUCGAGGGUUGGUCUGUUCGACCAUUAAAACCUUACAUGAUCUGAGUUCAGACCGGCGUGAGCCAGGUUGGUUUCUAUCCUUAAAUUUUGAAUAAAGUUUUUACUAGUACGAAAGGAUCGUUUAAAACUAAUUUACAAGAUUAGAAAAGAUGAGGUUUAAGAUAACAUCAUAAUAAAGUUGUUUAAGUUU